rnacentral:rRNA from 1 species
UCUUUCAUGAGAGUUUGAUCCUGGCUCAGGACGAACGCUGGCGGCGUGCCUAAUACAUGCAAGUCGAACGAACCGCGAGAGAACUUGUUCUUUCAAGGUUAGUGGCGCA